UUUUAUUCCUUGCUUUUUGAGAGUUUGUAUCAGAUAUGAUGUGUGUGUGUGUGUGUGUGUGUGUGUGUGUGUGUGUGUGUGUGUAGAGAGAGAGAGAAUAAUAACUGCUUCACAAUAAAGCUUUUUUGUGCAUAAAUAUAUAUGGGUGGGUAUGCUUGUCCUUUUAGCACACUGUCACUUCUUAUACCAUUCACUGUGCAUUCAUUUUUGCUUGAAACCACUCUCAGUACCAAAUUCUGACCUGUUACACCUGUGUAACCCCACUGAAGACCAAGAGGUUGUAUGGCUGUAACUGAGGGCAGAAUUUGACCUGUUGCUGGGAAAGAGGACUGUAAUCCAUGACUUUCAGAAGUAGGCCUCUAAUUUUGGGUGUGUAAUGGCAGCAGCUGCCAUUGACUUCAUUUGGAGUUGCAAGUGUGCAGCAUCUCUGAAAAUCGGGCCCUGGGUGUCUGAAAUUGGGCCUCCAAAAUUAGAGGCCACUUUUGAAAAUGUGGGCUUACAAAAGUGAAAGCCGUGAAUAGUGUGAGAUGUGCUGGAGCACACCAAGCAUUCUCAUGUCAUGUCUGCUCUUGGAUCUGGUGUAACUUGCAUCUUUGUUUUUCUCCACAGCCUUCCUGCUCCUGUUCACUUCUACCAAAGAUCUGGAAAAGAACUAAUUGUUGUCACCUACCUUGGGAGGCUUGUUUGCUACAGAGAGACUGAAGUUGCAGAUGAAACUAACGUCCACAUUGCUAUCCAACUCCACACCACAAUGCAGAAUGUUGAUAGCUUUGAGCAGUCUGACCCUAAAUGAAGAAACAUGGGGAGGGCUUCAGAUGGGAUACAGCAAAGCUGAUCUAUGCCUGCUACUGCAACAGGUCUACACGUGAUUUUUCAGCAAGCUAAAUUGCUAAAUUUAAGGAAAAGAAUCCCAGGAGAGUCGGAAGCAUACACAAGACCUAAUAAUCGCUAUAAUGAGUGUCUUCUUGAUAAUCUCCCUCCUACUCAUUCCGGGCUGCAGUUUCCUUUCUUACAAACUGAUGACAAAGGACAACACGACUUUGAAGAAAGAAGUGAAAUCUAUCACCAUCCAGUCUCACUUGCAUCAUGUUGAAACGAGGAUUGUCCUAUCUCCUUCCCAGCCUAUGCAAUUAGCUGCCCCCCAACAGAGGAGCUCCCAAGGAACCUCCCUCAUACAAACAUCACCGAUUUAUAAACAGCCUGGCGAUGUGCCACCGCUACGACCAGCCUCCAAUGUAUCUGCUGUCAGUUUUGCAUACACUGACCCUAGCACUGUUUUCUCAGCACCCAUACAAACAUCACCGAUUUAUAAACAGCCUGGCGAUGUGCCACCGCUACGACCAGCCUCCAAUGUAUCUGCUGUCAGUUUUGCAUACACUGACCCUAGCACUGUUUUCUCAGCACCCAGGAACCGUACUCCGGAAAGUUUUCUUUCUAACCUCUCAAAGUCAGGAAGCCUUUUUUCUAUGGAACAACAUGAUCUCUUUUAUGGGUCUUCCAGGAGUUCUUCCAGAGGGUCCAUGGACAACCCUGGAUACAAAUAUGAAGAUGGAGAAGGAAGCGGUGAUUCUGGGAGCAGCAUUUGUCCCAUUCAUGUGACAGACGAUCUACCUUUCACCAGACAUUAAUUAUAUUUAGGGUGACCAGAUCACUGACAGGAAAUAUCGAGACCGGGGGGGAGCAAAAAAAAACAAAAAACAAACAAACAAAAAAAGUAAAAAAAAAAAAAAAAAAAAAAAGCCGUUUUGCAGGUGCCGGGGGAAUUAGCAGGCCGCGGCCCCGCCCCCCCUGAGGGCCCCGGGCACAUGCGACACGU
ensembl:lncRNA